rnacentral:lncRNA from 1 species
CACCAACGCUGAGGACAGAGGAACUCCCGAUGGUUCUGUGUGUGUUAUCUCUAGAUGAUCUUCAAAGCCUUUCCCAACCUUAACGAUUCUAUGAUUGUGUGGGGCUGAGGACCUUUCAGUUGAGGAGAGUUCUUUACCAGCUUGUCAAGAUGGCAGAGCUGCUGGCAUCAGGUAAUUAUGCAAGCAUUCUGUGGUCAGACUGAGCUGCAAGAUGAAAACCAGUGAGUUAUCAGGAUGCACUUAGAGAGGAAAAUGGAGGAGAACUUCUCUUGAAGUAACCUAACACACAGUGGAGUCAAACCAAUUUGAGUAAGGUGGAAGCAAGAACUCCUGAUAAAUAACAGGAUCUCUACUAAGUCUAUAAUAGAAUUGAUGAAGAUAAGUAAGGAAAGCCCCUUUGUGUUAGAAUACACAGUUUCAUAAAAGUCAAAAUGUG